GAUGAACGCUGGCGGCGUGCCUAACACAUGCAAGUCGAGCGAUUUACUUCGGUAAAGAGCGGCGGACGGGUGAGUAACGCGUGGGUAACCUGCCCUGUACACACGGAUAACAUACCGAAAGGUAUGCUAAUACGAGAUAAUAUACUUUUAUCGCAUGGUAGAAGUAUCAAAGCUUUUGCGGUACAGGAUGGACCCGCGUCUGAUUAGCUAGUUGGUAAGGUAACGGCUUACCAAGGCGACGAUCAGUAGCCGACCUGAGAGGGUGAUCGGCCACAUUGGAACUGAGACACGGUCCAAACUCCUACGGGAGGCAGCAGUGGGGAAUAUUGCACAAUGGGCGAAAGCCUGAUGCAGCAACGCCGCGUGAGCGAUGAAGGCCUUCGGGUCGUAAAGACUCUGUCCUCAAGGAAGAUAAUGACGGUACUUGAGGAGGAAGCCCCGGCUAACUACGUGCCAGCAGCCGCGGUAAU
rnacentral:rRNA from 1 species